rnacentral:rRNA from 1 species
AACGAACGCUGGCGGCAGGCCUAACACAUGCAAGUCGAGCGAGGACUUCGGUCCUAGCGGCGGACGGGUGAGUAACGCGUGGGAACGUGCCCUUUGCUUCGGAAUAGCCCUGGGAAACUGGGAGUAAUACCGGAUGAGCCCUUUGGGGGAAAGAUUUAUCGGCGAAGGAUCGGCCCGCGUUGGAUUAGGUAGUUGGUGGGGUAAUGGCCUACCAAGCCGUCGAUCCAUAGCUGGUUUGAGAGGAUGAUCAGCCACACUGGGACUGAGACACGGCCCAGACUCCUACGGGAGGCAGCAGUGGGGAAUCUUAGAAAAUGGGGGAAACCCUGAUCUAGCCAUGCCGCGUGAGCGAUGAAGGCCUUAGGGUUGUAAAGCUCUUUCAGCUGGGAAGAUAAUGACGGUACCAGCAGAAGAAGCCCCGGCUAACUCCGUG